rnacentral:rRNA from 1 species
UACGUAGGGUGCAAGCGUUGUCCGGAAUUAUUGGGCGUAAAGGGCUCGUAGGCGGUUCGUCACGUCGGGGAGUGAAAACUCGGAGCUUAACUCCGAGCCUGCUUCCGAUACGGGCAGACUAGAGGUAGGCAGGGGAGAGCGGAACUCCUGGUGUAGCGGUGAAAUGCGCAGAUAUCGGGAGGAACACCGGUGGCGAAGGCGGUUCUCUGGGCCUUACCUGACGCUGAGGAGCGAAAGCGUGGGGAGCGAACAGG